CCUACGGGAGGCAGCAGUGGGGAAUCUUGCGCAAUGGGCGAAAGCCUGACGCAGCAACGCCGCGUGCGGGAAGAAGGCUUUCGGGCUGUAAACCGCUUUCAGCAGGAACGAAAAUGACGGUACCUGCAGAAGAAGGAGCGGCCAACUAUGUGCCAGCAGCCGCGGUGAUACAUAGGCUUCAAGCGUUGUCCGGAUUUAUUGGGCGUAAAGAGUUCGUAGGCGGUCGAGUAAGUCGGGUGUGAAAAUUCUGGGCUCAACCCAGAGACGCCACCCGAUACUGCUUGACUUGAGUUCGAUAGGGGAGUGGGGAAUUCCUAGUGUAGCGGUGAAAUGCGCAGAUAUUAGGAGGAACACCGGUGGCGAAGGCGCCACUCUGGAUCGAUACUGACGCUGAGGAACGAAAGCAUGGGUAGCAAACAGGAUUAGAUACCCUGGUAGUCCAUGCCGUAAACGGUGGGCACUAGGUGUGGGUUUCUAUUAACGAAAUCCGCGCCGUCGCUAACGCAUUAAGUGUCCGCCUGGGAGUACGGUCGCAAGACUAAACUUAAANGAAUUGACGG
rnacentral:rRNA from 1 species